GUUAAGCGACUAAGCGUACACGGUGGAUGCCCUGGCAGUCAGAGGCGAUGAAGGACGUGCUAAUCUGCGAUAAGCGUCGGUAAGGUGAUAUGAACCGUUAUAACCGGCGAUUUCCGAAUGGGGAAACCCAGUGUGUUUCGACACACUAUCAUUAACUGAAUCCAUAGGUUAAUGAGGCGAACCGGGGGAACUGAAACAUCUAAGUACCCCGAGGAAAAGAAAUCAACCGAGAUUCCCCCAGUAGCGGCGAGCGAACGGGGAGCAGCCCAGAGCCUGAAUCAGUAUGUGUGUUAGUGGAAGCGUCUGGAAAGGCGCGCGAUACAGGGUGACAGCCCCGUACACAAAAAUGCACAUGCUGUGAGCUCGAUGAGUAGGGCGGGACACGUGGUAUCCUGUCUGAAUAUGGGGGGACCAUCCUCCAAGGCUAAAUACUCCUGACUGACCGAUAGUGAACCAGUACCGUGAGGGAAAGGCGAAAAGAACCCCGGCGAGGGGAGUGAAAAAGAACCUGAAACCGUGUACGUACAAGCAGUGGGAGCACGCUUAGGCGUGUGACUGCGUACCUUUUGUAUAAUGGGUCAGCGACUUAUAUUCUGUAGCAAGGUUAACCGAAUAGGGGAGCCGAAGGGAAACCGAGUCUUAACUGGGCGUUAAGUUGCAGGGUAUAGACCCGAAACCCGGUGAUCUAGCCAUGGGCAGGUUGAAGGUUGGGUAACACUAACUGGAGGACCGAACCGACUAAUGUUGAAAAAUUAGCGGAUGACUUGUGGCUGGGGGUGAAAGGCCAAUCAAACCGGGAGAUAGCUGGUUCUCCCCGAAAGCUAUUUAGGUAGCGCCUCGUGAAUUCAUCUCCGGGGGUAGAGCACUGUUUCGGCAAGGGGGUCAUCCCGACUUACCAACCCGAUGCAAACUGCGAAUACCGGAGAAUGUUAUCACGGGAGACACACGGCGGGUGCUAACGUCCGUCGUGAAGAGGGAAACAACCCAGACCGCCAGCUAAGGUCCCAAAGUCAUGGUUAAGUGGGAAACGAUGUGGGAAGGCCCAGACAGCCAGGAUGUUGGCUUAGAAGCAGCCAUCAUUUAAAGAAAGCGUAAUAGCUCACUGGUCGAGUCGGCCUGCGCGGAAGAUGUAACGGGGCUAAACCAUGCACCGAAGCUGCGGCAGCGACGCUGAUGCGUUGUUGGGUAGGGGAGCGUUCUGUAAGCCUGCGAAGGUGUGCUGUGAGGCAUGCUGGAGGUAUCAGAAGUGCGAAUGCUGACAUAAGUAACGAUAAAGCGGGUGAAAAGCCCGCUCGCCGGAAGACCAAGGGUUCCUGUCCAACGUUAAUCGGGGCAGGGUGAGUCGACCCCUAAGGCGAGGCCGAAAGGCGUAGUCGAUGGGAAACAGGUUAA
rnacentral:rRNA from 1 species